AGUGAACGCUGGCGGUAGGCCUAACACAUGCAAGUCGAACGGCAGCACAGUAAGAGCUUGCUCUUACGGGUGGCGAGUGGAGGACGGGUGAGGAAUACAUCGGAAUCUACUUUUUCGCGGGGGAUAAGGUAGGGAAACUUACGCUAAUACCGCAUACGACCUACGGGUGAAAGCAGGGGAUCUUCGGACCUUGCGCGAUUGAAUGAGCCGAUGUCGGAUUAGCUAGUUGGCGGGGUAAAGGCCCACCAAGGCGACGAUCCGUAGCUGGUCUGAGAGGAUGAUCAGCCACACUGGAACUGAGACACGGUCCAGACUCCUACGGGAGGCAGCAGUGGGGAAUAUUGGACAAUGGGCGCAAGCCUGAUCCAGCCAUACCGCGUGGGUGAAGAAGGCCUUCGGGUUGUAAAGCCCUUUUGUUGGGAAAGAAAAGCAGCAGGUUAAUACCCCGCUGUUCUGACGGUACCCAAAGAAUAAGCACCGGCUAACUUCGUG
rnacentral:rRNA from 1 species